GGUCCUCGGGGAUCCACUGGUGCAGAGCGGCCUGUUCGGCGGGCCCGAAGGCGGGCAGUUCGAGUCCGGCGGAGGCCGC
rnacentral:tRNA from 1 species